GAACGCUGGCGGCGUGCCUAAUACAUGCAAGUCGAACGGUCUUUCUAUGGAAGCUUGCUCCACUGAGAAGAUAGUGGCGAACGGGUGAGUAACACGUGGGUAACCUGCCCAUAAGAGGGGGGAUAACAUCCGGAAACGGGUGCUAAUACCGCAUAGUUUUCUUGGUCGCAUGAUCGGGAAAGGAAAGACGGCCUUUGUGCUGUCGCUUAUGGAUGGACCCGCGGCGUAUUAGUUAGUUGGUGAGGUAACGGCUCACCAAGACGAUGAUACGUAGCCGACCUGAGAGGGUGAUCGGCCACAUUGGGACUGAGACACGGCCCAAACUCCUACGGGAGGCAGCAGUAGGGAAUCUUCCGCAAUGGACGAAAGUCUGACGGAGCAACGCCGCGUGAGUGAAAGAAGGUUUUCGGAUCGUAAAACUCUGUUGUCAGAGAAGAACAAGUUGGAGAGUAACUGCUCCAGCCUUGACGGUAUCUGACCAGAAAGCCACGGCUAACUACGUGCCAGCCGCGGC
rnacentral:rRNA from 1 species